GAGGAGCAGUAUGAGUAAGGGAGAGACUGUGGUACUCCCUAGUGCCCACCCUCCUCUGUGCCAGGCCGGUCGUAGCAUGGGCAUGGCACUUUGUUUACAUAUAAGCUGGAUGGCACUUCCUGGAUCCACCUGCCAUCGAUGCCUUCUUCACAGUCGUCCUUGUCUUAGGUCUACGCAUACACUCCACAUGGACACAAGCCUCUCCUCUAAAUGGUCCAGUCUUUUCACCACUGUGGUUUUCCAGGUUCAAUCCAGCUGAACUCGCCUUCCUCACAGAGUAUGAUGCCGCCAUGAGCCCAGUCGCAAAGGCCAUCAACAUCCUGUAGACUGAAACCAAUGUCCAGAUGGGGUGACUACUUCCAACUAUCAACCUGCUGAUCACUAAACAUGACUGAAUCAAGUUGUCCCUGAAGUCCUGUAAGCCUCUGGUGGAUGCGCUACAACUGGGACUGAAGAAGCACUUCAGCCACAUGUUUCACGACCCUGAGCUGAUCGCAGCUUCUCCCCAAAUGUAAUACAAUGUGGACAAAGGAUGAAGCCACUAUCAGAAUGGGAAUGGACUACAUCAUGGACCACCUGGAAGAACCCUUGCUGCAGCUAGGUGAUGGCACCAGUUCAUCAGAUGAGGAGGACUUCUUCUCUGCUUUGAAAAUGUCUCAAGCACAAGAAAGCUCCAAACAGCUGGACGGAUACCUGGCCUGUUCAGCGGAUCAUAUGGAGUUGCUCAAGUCGUUCCUCGCAGUCUGUAAGUUGUUCUCUGAGGUUAAACACAGCCUCACCUUCAUCAGCUGCCCGUGAAAGGCUGUUCAGCAUUGCAGGGCUGGUUUCCAGCCCCUGUAGAACAAGGCUGGAUUCCACAAACUUUGAAAAACAGCUUUUACUGAAGAUGAACUGUAAAUUCUUCAACUUCAAGUACUGACAGCUUAACGCUAGCAAGCCCAAGGACACUGAUGCAUAAUGCGUUUUGUUAAUUUAUGUUUAAAAUUCACAUGUUAUAUGUGUGCUUGUUACAAAGGCAUGACCUGACACCCUGAUUUCUAAUACAGUUCCAUCAGUGGUGAUGUCCUCAUAUUCCGACAGUGAGGUUGUGUGUAUAGGGUUGUAUUAUAGGAUGUUGUUUCUAAAUCAAAGUGACUGUGAUUGUAAGUGCUUACAUUUACUGGCUAUAUUCCUUAAUUUUUAAGGCAUAAUUCUAUUUUGUCUGUAAGAGAUGUAUUUUGAAGUGUUACCUAUUUGUGAAUCCACUUUUUUCUUCUUGCAUCCAUAAGACUGUUACCUUUCACAAAAGGUAAAACCAAAUUAAAGGUCUGGGUGUUUAGCUUUUUGGUUUUACGGCUCUUACGUUUCAUACUUUUACUUUUGAUACUUAAAUACAUCCACCACUGCUUAAAAUAAAGAAUUUA